rnacentral:rRNA from 1 species
AGCGAACGCUGGCGGCAUGCUUAACACAUGCAAGUCUCACGGGCAGCAAUGUCAGUGGCGGACGGGUGAGUAACGCGUAGGUAUCUAUCCUUGGGUGGGGGACAACCGUGGGAAACUACGGCUAAUACCGCAUGACGACUGAGGUCUAAAGCAGUGAUGCGCCUGAGGAGGAGCCUGCGUACGAUUAGCUAGUUGGUGGGGUAAAGGCCUACCAAGGCUGUGAUCGUUAGCUGGUCUGAGAGGAUGAUCAGCCACACUGGGACUGAGACACGGCCCAGACUCCUACGGGAGGCAGCAGUGGGGAAUAUUGGACAAUGGGCGCAAGCCUGAUCCAGCAAUGCCGCGUGUGUGAAGAAGGUUUUCGGAUUGUAAAGCACUUUCGGCGGGGACGAUGAUGACGGUACCCGCAGAAGAAGCCCCGGCUAACUUCGUGCCAGCCGCCGCCGUAACAC